rnacentral:rRNA from 1 species
ACUUAAUUUGUCAGCUAAGUGGCGCACGGGUGAGUAAUGUAUAGUUAACCUGCCCUCGAGAAAGGAAUAACAGUUGGAAACGACUGCUAAUGCCCUAUAUGCCUUUAAGACAUAAGUCUACAAGGGAAAUGCUUUUGUGCUCGAGGAUGGGACUGUAUGGUAUCAGAUAGUUGGUGAGGUAAUGGCUCACCAAGUCAAUGACGCCUAACUGGUUUGAGAGGAUGAUCAGUCACACUGGAACUGAGACACGGUCCAGACUCCUACGGGAGGCAGCAGUGGGGAAUAUUGCACAAUGGAGGAAACUCUGAUGCAGCAACGCCGCGUGGAGGAUGACACUUUUCGGAGCGUAAACUCCUUUUAUAUAGGAAGAUAAUGACGGUACUAUAUGAAUAAGCGCCGGCUAACUCCGUGCCAGCAGCCGCGGUAAUACGGAGGGCGCAAGCGUUACUCGGAAUCACUGGGCGUAAAGAGCGUGUAGGCGGGUUAAUAAGUCAGAAGUGAAAUCCUAUAGCUCAACUAUAGAACUGCUUUUGAAACUGUUAACCUAGAAUAUGGGAGAGGUAGAUGGAAUUUCUGGUGUAGGGGUAAAAUCCGUAGAGA